rnacentral:rRNA from 1 species
AUUGAACGCUGGCGGCAUGCCUUACACAUGCAAGUCGAACGGUAACGGGUCCUUCGGGAUGCCGACGAGUGGCGAACGGGUGAGUAAUAUAUCGGAACGUGCCCAGUAGUGGGGGAUAACUGCUCGAAAGAGCAGCUAAUACCGCAUACGACCUGAGGGUGAAAGGGGGGGAUCGCAAGACCUCUCGCUAUUGGAGCGGCCGAUAUCAGAUUAGCUAGUUGGUGGGGUAAAGGCCUACCAAGGCAACGAUCUGUAGUUGGUCUGAGAGGACGACCAGCCACACUGGGACUAAGACACGGCCCAGACGCCUACGGGAGGCAGCAGUGGGGAAUUUUGGACAAUGGGCGCAAGCCUGAUCCAGCAAUGCCGCGUGCAGGAAGAAGGCCUUCGGGUUGUAAACUGCUUUUGUCAGGGAAGAAAUCUUCUGGGCUAAUACCCCGGGAGGAUGACGGUACCUGAAGAAUAAGCACCGGCUAACUACGUGCCAGCCGCCGCGGUAA